GGUAUGUGGGGAAAGGCCCAGUAACACCUCUUGGGGGAGGAUGCCUCUAUCAUUAAAAAGAACAGUGGACAUUGAUGCUCAUUAGGAAGCUGACUGAUGAUCUUUUCCAUAAAAUUGUUAUCAAAUUAUACCCAGUCAAUACAACUAAGAACUGGGGCAAGCUGGACAUCUGUCGUUAAUUUGUUACAUUUUUCUAUUUACUCAAGUUUGUGAAAUUCAUGCCAAUUUUUGUUUUAUUUAUUUUUUUAUUUGAUUUUGUAUGUCCUGAGGAAUGAUGAAGUGUCUUCUGAGUGCUUUUCAAACUAUCUAAAGGGAUAUAGUAAUUCAGAAAGGUUCUUCAUUCAUUUUACAUUAUAUAUGUGAAAAAAGGAAUAAUUGAUAAUUACAUCACACAUCUGGGGGGAGGCCUUUAUAUUUUGCUGGAAGGAAUUUGGAAGAUAUUGUUUGGUUGAAAGAUUAUUUGUCUAUAGAUGUAUAGUGUAAGAUAAUUUCUUACAGGGAGCUGAUGCCCAUUUUUAAUUUGCAACAAGUGUCCAUAAACACAUAAACAUACACAUGUAUGCAAAUGUGAGAGAACAGUCCUAAAAUAUGGACAUAUUUAGAUGGGCCCAGGCAAAUCUAGAAGUGCCUGUUUCUUUGGGAAUAUAUUAAUGCAAAGACUGUAAAUAUUGUUGUUCUCCAUUGAC